AACGAACGCUGGCGGCGUGCCUAACACAUGCAAGUCGAACGAGAAAACAGGCUUCGGCCUGUGAGUAAAGUGGCAGACGGGUGAGUAACACGUGGGCAACCUGUCCGGAGGUGGGGGAUAACUCUUCGAAAGGAGAGCUAAUACCGCAUAACACGCACGAGGCUCCGGCCUUGUGCGUCAAAGCUUGCCUCUUCUUGAAAGCUAGCUCCACCGGAGGGGCCCGCGGCCCAUUAGCUUGUUGGUGAGGUAACGGCUCACCAAGGCGACGAUGGGUAGCCGGCCUGAGAGGGCGAUCGGCCACACUGGAACUGAGACACGGUCCAGACUCCUACGGGAGGCAGCAGUGAGGAAUUUUGCGCAAUGGGGGAAACCCUGACGCAGCGACGCCGCGUGGAGGACGAAGGCCUUCGGGUCGUAAACUCCUGUCAAGUGGGACGAACCCCGUGGAGAUGAAUAAGCUCCACGGCUGACGGUACCACUGGAGGAAGCCCCGGCUAACUCCGUG
rnacentral:rRNA from 1 species